AUGGACCUUCAAUUUGCUGAGUUGCCUCUCACCUGUGAAACGCUGGAGCUAGUCAUUGCACUGCAGCCACAGUUGAGACAAGACUUUCCCUUACUCCCCUUGGUGAUUCCUGACUGGCUCAUCACCGUACAUUCCUUCCCCAUACCUCCUCCCUUCCUUCCACCUACCCCCCUCCCCUCCCUCCAUCCCCUCCUCCAUCCCCUGUCUAUCAUCAUUUGCACGCACUGGUCCAUGGCUACCUUUCUUCCUCCAUCCUCUUUCCCCUCCUCUCUACACCUACUCUUUCCUUCUGUCACUUGCACGCACCGUUACAUUUCUCUCUACCUUUCCUCUUCCCUGGUUUCUCCUUCCUCUCUUUUCCUCCCUCUCCAUCUCUCGCACGCACCGUCUUAUUUCUGCCCCCCCCCCCUCCCUCUUCCUCUCUCUACUAACAUGGGAUCAUGACAGCUACCUUCCCGGUGGUGAUCCUGUUAAGGGAAGCUUUCCUGUUAAAGGGAAAUUUCCUGAACUAAAGCUGUCAAAUAGGGGAUGCUAUUACACUGGAAAAUUCAUUAAUCUCCAUUAAGUUUUUAUAAUUGAGGUCAUGAUGAUAACGUCAUGUUGCAUUAUGCAAUUUCCUAGUCAAGUCAAAAGAAAGUUUCCAAAAUUGGAAAUACUCUUGAAAAAAAAAAUACUCUAGCUUUAUUUAUAGUUCAGAUUAGCCGAUUCAGUGACUUCAAACUCGAAAAUGUUUAAAAUAUGAUUUUUUUUGUGCUCAAAACAUUGAAGUGGUUAGAAAUUGCCUCAGACUUCACCACUGAGCAUCUAAAAUCCAAGAUUUCCCAGACACCUUCUGUGACCCCACGCUAUUAGGGCUUCUCACUCAGUUGCUUUAGUUAUGAUCAAAGCAUACCCCCCCCCCCCAGCCACUGAUACAAGCCCAGCAGCUUGAUAGCUUCUAAUAUUGCAUUCCAUCGACACUCAUAAAAAUGGGUUCUUUCUGCAAAACAUUCAUUCCUCCAAGUAGCAUCGAUCAAUCACAAGUUACUUUUGUUUGAAAUGAGUGGAAGAUGUUCUUUUCAGACAUAUUUUUAAAUUCUUUUGUUCCUAAAAAUACUACAAAAUCAUUAAUUUAGGUAAUUUCUUUCUGACUCACCCUGUAUGUAUCGCACAAUAGUGAACAAAUACCCCCUUACACGCGCUGAUCCAGUACGGUACACGUGCCAAGUGAGUGUUAUUGAGUUUUCCACCAGCCUGGCGAGUGGCAUUGUGUUGCACUGCAAAAAGCCUGCAAAAUAAUCAUCUCUCCUAAGGAUUUUGACUCCAAGAACAGAGGCCUCAUCACGAACAAUGACUCAUCAAGGAUUCAUUGCGGACCAGGACCAGCGUAGUGCUUGAAGUUGAUGAUCGAACCUGGUGAGAAUGAGACGGCUCUUUUAAAAAUCAUCCGCCAUGACCGCACCUGUCUGUGAGGGAUGAGGCACCAUCCUGAGGUCAUCAUCACAUCUUUUCUGGCUUCUCUCAGGAUGAUCGAGUGCUCCAAAUUGAAGAGACUGAUCUUUGCAAACCAUGCUGAGGCUGGAUUGGACCAGACCAGUGCCUAGACUAGGCAGGACAGGCUGGAUGACCAUCACCAUGGUGACUGGGAUGACCUUAAGGGUGAGUCAAACCAAGAAUGCAACCUGCUCCAUCAAAACUCAUCACAAUGUGCACCAAACAACCUCCUUUGUAAAUGACCAUAAUUCUCUCAUUUAUUCUUGUGAAUUGGAGUUUGUCCUCAAUGUUCUGAUUGAAAGAAAUUUGAUACUUUUCAUGACAGCAUCAUGGAAAAUACAUUGUAAUUUGAAGAAGAAAGAGAAAUGAGAAUAAUUUCUAAGCAAUGGUCAUGACAGUCAUUUCUGAAAGACAGGAAUUGAAAGUUUCCCUUCUUGAAAGAUUGCUGUGUGAUUUGAUAUACAUCAAAUCAAGAAAUUUCAUUUGUGUGAACUGUCAAAGAGAAACCUAAUUAUUUGCAGUACAUGUAAGUGUCCAGUGACUUUCAUAGCGGUUUGCAAGCAGAUGGAAUUGUCGCAAAGCUCUUGCAGUCCGGUGCACAUGUUGUUAAUAUGAUGGAGCAGGUUUUCAUAGGAGAGAUUGAAGUGAAAAAUACAGUUAUGAAUUGAAAAGUUUUUUAUUUAAAGACAUACAGGAUCAUUUUGCAUUUGACCCUCAAUCAACCUAACACAAUAUAUUUAAAUUGCUUACUUGGAUUAAGGAUAGUACUGGUACUACAUGUAAACGACCCGUAAAUUCUAUCUGGCAUGCUGUCAUUUCAAAUGCAAUCCAGAAAUGAAGGUGCUUUCCAACAAUCAGCCAUUUGACUGUUUUUUGGGGAAUAAAGAUUGCUAUUGACAAAAUAGUGUGUAGUGAUCAAAAGGUCCUGCUUUACUGUUUUCUUGAAAUGUGAAAUAAUUACAGAGCUGAAAGUUCAACUGAUUAGGUUUUGAACACUCUUCUUUUGAUUGUGUUGAUGUUAUUGUUGGAAACAAAGAAAAUGCAUGAAUAGCAAAUGAUCCUUUAUGCCUUUUUUAGUUGUUGCUUUAUUAGUUUUAAAAUUUUCCAUAGCAAAUUGUACACACAUACUCUAUAUCUUUGGUUGCUAGAAAAGAUUAAUUUUCAUUUGUUUCAUUUUCAUAUUGAUUUCAUUUUGUCGUAAAAAAUUAUGACUUUAUUAACCUGAUAAUAUCUGGUUCUGAAAACUGAAAUAUGUGAAUAGAUUUUUUUUUCUGAGCAUGCGAAAAUGUAGUUUCUGUUGCUGCAAAUGCCAUUUUAUCCCAACGGUUCGGUCUUUGAUGUUGAGAACAACAUUUCAACAUUCGGGAGGAAUGUAGUUAGCCAAACUAAGUAUUUCCUAACAAAAUUGGAAACAUUUCACAGUCCCAGAUUCACGUCUUUUCAACAUGUUUGCAAUGAAUGACCUUUAGUGAUAUGAGGAAAAAGUGGCAUUAAGUUGCAACAUUCUGCCUAAACAUUCUUAAAUCAUUGAUGGAAAAGUUAAGACACUUUAAAUCUCUGAGCUACCUGAAGGUUGAAGAUUUUAGUCAAGGAAACAAAACUGUCUUAACUAUUAACUUUAAUAUUGAUAAUAAUUUGGUGACAGAUAAUGAAGUGAAAAUGUUUCUUGUUUCUGCAAAUGAUUGAGAUUGAUGAUAAAUUUGAGAAAGCCAUGCUGUUAUGUUAGUGAAUUGUAGGUGCCAGUCUGGAUCAGGAUAACAUGUAGCUGACAAUAAGUUCAAUAUGUGUUGCUUUUCCUUUCAAUCUAUGGCUAAAUUUUGGCUUCCUUUCUAAAUACCCCCAAAUUUCCUAAAUUCCUCAUUCUCUAUGUUACACCCAUUUUUCUCGCCAACUUAACCAUCAGUUUGCUAUUGCAAUGCAACAACCACAGCUCUGCAUUUAAGCCAAAAGAAACAUCAAAACUGAAACCAAAAUCAAGCUAUGUGAAGCUGAAUCUCAGUGUCUUACAGUGCAAUUCCUCUGCCUGUAUCUCCUCUGCUAAACUGUAGUUCUUUUUCAUCUUACAUCUAAUUGCAACACAACCAAAAGCUCAACUUUUAUCACAUGCAAAGUACAUACACCUGUGUUUCUGUGCAAAACUUUGCACUUAUUUAUUUUUCAAACCAAAGGAUGUCUUUGGGGUGCUCUCAGAAGGUAUUGGAAGCCAUUUAAGUGCAAUCAUUAAUAGGUCAUAAUUUUUCGAAGACUACUUAAAUACAAAUGUAUAUUAAAGAUGCUAGGGGCGUUCGCGUAGUUUGUCGGUCUUGUGCACACAAUUUUUAUUACUGAAUGUCAGUGGUCGUUCAUAUUGUGGUAGACCUGGUCAUGUAAGCUGUUUGCUAGCCAUCUCUGAGAGUCAACCCCUCCCUUCCUUUUGGGCAACCAUUUCUUUGGUACUCUGCCCUCAGUAUUUAUUCUUUAUUCAUCUCUUUACUCCAUCUUUCUUAGGCUUUUUGCCUCCAUUCUUGUCUGAUCUUGUUUCAAUUCAUUUCAGUAACUUUUAUGUCCAUCUAAAGCAGAGUAAAAGAACCAUGAGAACAAUAAGUUUCUAUAUAAAGAUGGAGGCAUUGUUUUAAAAUCUAAAGUUAAUAGGGGCACACCUUAUAUUCCUAGACUUU